rnacentral:rRNA from 1 species
GAUGAACGCUGGCGGCGUGCCUAAUACAUGCAAGUCGAACGCUGGAAAUCUAGCUUGCUAGAUUGAAGGAGUGGCGAACGGGUGAGUAAUACAUAGGCAACCUACCCACGAAGACUGGGAUAAUCUCUGGAAACGGGGACUAAUACCGGAUAGGUAAUCGGAAGGCAUCUUCUGAUUAUUAAAGGUUAAAAACACUGGUGGAUGGGCUUAUGGCGCAUUAGUUAGUUGGUGAGGUAACGGCCCACCAAGACGAUGAUGCGUAGCCGGCCUGAGAGGGUGAACGGCCACAUUGGGACUGAGACACGGCCCAGACUCCUACGGGAGGCAGCAGUAGGGAAUUUUCGGCAAUGGGGGAAACCCUGACCGAGCAACGCCGCGUGAGUGAUGACGGCCUUCGGGUUGUAAAGCUCUGUUGUAAGGGAAGAACGGUAGAUAGAGAAUAUCUAAAUGACGGUACCUUACCAGAAAGCCACGGCUAACUACGUG